AGCAAGUCAGAAGCUUUGGUGACUCGGCAGCUCUUAUCAUAUUUCUCUUGUAGAUUAGAUUGCUAUUGAUUAUGCUCAUUGUUGAUAAAAAUGCAGGACGAAGCCUUCAUGUGCCGCAAACGUAUUGCGAGGUUCCUCCUUGAGCAUGAAGACAACACGUGCAGGGGCGCAUUUACAAAGAGCAAUGCAAUAACGAAAAAGAAAGGAAACCCUGACCAGCCAAAGCAAAAGAAACAAAAGGUGAGAGCAGUGAAUCUGAGGCUGCAGUGAUAAUUGAAACAGAGAACAGAGAUGAUAAGACUCCAGAGGAUGAACAUAUUUCAGUUGAGAAAGAGCAAGGUAAAAAAGAAGAGCCUGUACUAUCAACUGACACAAAGAAUGACGAAGCUUCAUCCCCAUCUGACGAAGAGCGUCAGCCGAGUGAGUAUGAAAAUAUGUAUGUUUCAUUCCCAUA